CGCGGCCUAUCAGCUUGUUGGUGGGGUAAUGGCCUACCAAGGCGACGACGGGUAGCCGGCCUGAGAGGGCGACCGGCCACACUGGGACUGAGACACGGCCCAGACUCCUACGGGAGGCAGCAGUGGGGAAUAUUGCACAAUGGGUGAAAGCCUGAUGCAGCGACGCCGCGUGAGGGAUGACGGCCUUCGGGUUGUAAACCUCUUUCAGCAGGGAAGAAGCGAAAGUGACGGUACCCGCAGAAGAAGCGCCGGCUAACUACGUGCCAGCAGCCGCGGUAAUACAUAGGGUGCAAGCGUUGUCCGGAAUUAUUGGGCGUAAAGAGCUCGUAGGUCGUUUGCCGCGUCGAUUGUGAAAAUCUGAGGCUCAACCUCAGACCUGCAGUCGAUACGGGCAAACUAGAGUGUGGUAGGGGAGACUGGAAUUCCUGGUGUAGCGGUGGAAUGCGCAGAUAUCAGGAGGAACACCAAUGGCGAAGGCAGGUCUCUGGGCCAUAACUGACACUGAGGAGCGAAAGCGCGGGGAGCGAACAGGAUUAGAUACCCUGGUAGUCCGCGCCGUAAACGGUGGGCACUAGCUGUGAGGACCUUCCACGGUCUUCGCGACGCAGCAAACGCAUUAAGUGCCCCGCCUGGGGAGUACGG
rnacentral:rRNA from 1 species